rnacentral:rRNA from 1 species
UCAAGCGAAUAAGCGCACACGGUGGAUGCCUUGGCGGUCAGAGGCGAUGAAGGACGUGGCAGCCUGCGAAAAGUAUCGGGGAGCUGGCAACAAGCUUUGAUCCGGUAAUGUCCGAAUGGGGAAACCCACCCGCUUGCGGGUAUCCUGCAGUGAAUACAUAGCUGCUGGAAGCGAACCUGGUGAACUGAAAUAUCUAAGUAACCAGAGGAAAGAAAUCAACCGAGAUUCCGUAAGUAGCGACGAGCGAACGCGGACUAGCCCUUAAGCUGAUUUGGUUCUAGGAAAACGCUCUGGAAAGAGCGGCCAUAGAAGGUGAUAGCCCUGUAUCUGAAAGGGCCAUUUCAGUGAAGACGAGUAGGGCGGGGCACGUGAAACCCUGUCUGAACAUGGGGGGACCAUCCUCCAAGGCUAAAUACUACUGACCGACCGAUAGUGAACCAGUACCGUGAGGGAAAGGCGAAAAGAACCCCGGAGAGGGGAGUGAAAUAGAAACCUGAAACCGUGUGCGUACAAGCAGUAGGAGCUCCGCAAGGAGUGACUGCGUACUUUUGUAUAAUGGGUCAGCGACUUACUGUUCGUGGCAAGCUUAACCGUAUAGGGGAGGCGAAGGGAAACCGAGUCUGAUAAGGGCGCAUAGUCGCGGGCAGUAGACCCGAAACCGGGUGAUCUAGUCAUGCCCAGGGUGAAGGUGCGGUAACACGCACUGGAGGCCCGAACCCACUCCCGUUGCAAAGGUAGGGGAUGAGGUGUGAUUAGGAGUGAAAAGCUAAUCGAACCCGGAGAUAGCUGGUUCUCCUCGAAAGCUAUUUAGGUAGCGCCUCAUAUGUAUCCUCUCGGGGGUAGAGCACUGUUAUGGCUAGGGGGUCAUCGCGACUUACCAAACCAUUGCAAACUCCGAAUACCGAGACGGACUGUAUGGGAGACACACGGCGGGUGCUAACGUCCGUCGUGAAAAGGGAAACAACCCAGACCCACAGCUAAGGUCCCAAAUUCACUGCUAAGUGGAAAACCAUGUGGAAAGGCACAGACAGCCAGGAGGUUGGCUUAGAAGCAGCCACCCUUUAAAGAAAGCGUAAUAGCUCACUGGUCGAGUCGGUCUGCGGGGAAGAUUUAACGGGGCUAAGCAGUGAACCGAAGCUUGGGGUGCAUACUUUGUAUGCGCGGUAGAGGAGCGUUCCGUAAGCCGUUGAAGGUGGAUUGAGAAGUCUGCUGGAGGUAUCGGAAGUGCGAAUGCUGACAUGAGUAACGAUAAUGCGGGUGAAAAACCCGCACGCCGAAAGCCCAAGGUUUCCUUGCGCAACGUUAAUCGGCGCAGGGUGAGUCGGCCCCUAAGGCGAGGACGAAAGUCGUAGUCGAUGGGAAGCAGGUUAAUAUUCCUGCACCUCGCGUAAGUGCGAUGGAGGGACGGAGAAGGUUAGGUGUACCAGGCGUUGGUUGUCCUGGGGAAAGGCGGUAGGUUUGGAUCUUUGGCAAAUCCGGGAUCCUCUAAGACCGAGCACCGAGACGAGCCUUUAUGGCGAAGUCACUGAUACCACGCUUCCAGGAAAAGCUCCUAAGCUUCAGCUUACGCAGACCGUACCGUAAACCGACACAGGUGGGUAGGAUGAGAAUUCUCAGGCGCUUGAGAGAACUCGGGUGAAGGAACUAGGCAACAUGGCACCGUAACUUCGGGAGAAGGUGCACCCUUUUUGGUGGCUCGUGCGAGCUAUAGCUGAAGAGGGUCGCAGUAACCAGGCCGCUGCGACUGUUUAUCAAAAACACAGCACUCUGCAAACACGAAAGUGGACGUAUAGGGUGUGACGCCUGCCCGGUGCUGGAAGGUUAAUUGAUGGGGUCAGCCGCAAGGCGAAGCUCUUGAUCGAAGCCCCAGUAAACGGCGGCCGUAACUAUAACGGUCCUAAGGUAGCGAAAUUCCUUGUCGGGUAAGUUCCGACCUGCACGAAUGGCGUAACGACAGCGGCGCUGUCUCCACCCGAGACUCAGUGAAAUUGAAAUCGCUGUGAAGAUGCAGCGUUCCCGUGGCAAGACGGAAAGACCCCGUGAACCUUUACUAUAGCUUUACACUGAACGUUGAGUUCGUCUGUGUAGGAUAGGUGGGAGGCUAUGAAACCAUGGCGCUAGCUGUGGCGGAGCCAUCCUUGAAAUACCACCCUGUCGUGCUUGACGUUCUAACCUGGGCCCAUUAUCUGGGUCGGGGACCGUGUAUGGUGGGUAGUUUGACUGGGGCGGUCUCCUCCUAAAGAGUAACGGAGGAGCUCGAAGGUACGCUCAGCGCGGUCGGACAUCGCGCACUGUGUGCAAAGGCAUAAGCGUGCUUGACUGCAAGAUCGACGGAUCAAGCAGGUAGGAAACUAGGACUUAGUGAUCCGGUGGUUCUGUAUGGAAGGGCCAUCGCUCAACGGAUAAAAGGUACUCCGGGGAUAACAGGCUGAUACCGCCCAAGAGUUCAUAUCGACGGCGGUGUUUGGCACCUCGAUGUCGGCUCAUCACAUCCUGGGGCUGUAGUCGGUCCCAAGGGUAUGGCUGUUCGCCAUUUAAAGUGGUACGCGAGCUGGGUUCAGAACGUCGUGAGACAGUUCGGUCCCUAUCUGCCAUGGGCGUUGGAGAUUUGAGAGGGGCUGCUCCUAGUACGAGAGGACCGGAGUGGACGAACCUCUGGUGUUCCGGUUGUCACGCCAGUGGCAUUGCCGGGUAGCUAUGUUCGGAAGCGAUAACCGCUGAAAGCAUCUAAGCGGGAAGCGCGCCUCAAGAUGAGAUCUCCCGGGGCACAAGCCCCCUGAAGGAACCAUGUAGACUACGUGGUUGAUAGGUCAGGUGUGUAAGUACAGCAAUGUAUUGAGCUAACUGAUACUAAUGAUCCGAGAGGCUUGACCAU